rnacentral:sRNA from 1 species
GUUGUUCCUGAGGAAAGGACCUUUGAGCUGAGACCUGCAGGAUAAGUCUGGGUGGCACGGAGCAAAGUGGAGGCCAAGAGCCCAGGGGCAGCCCAGUUUCUCCAGCAGGAGGGAACAGGAUGCUUUUUGGAAAUAAAAGUUAGGCACGGUGGCUUGCACCUGAGUCCCCUUUACGCUACUCCGGAGGCCAAGGCAGUAAGAGCGCUUGAGCCCAGGGAGUUCGAGGAUAGCCUGGGCUACAGAGUGAGACCUCUGUGUCUAAGAACAAACACAAACAUGGUCAGGAGGGUGUCACUCAGGGACAGGCAGAAUCAAGAGCUGGUCCUGGAGAGACCAGUGGGGCUGUAUAGACUGGGGGCUUUGGUUGUUUGCUGAGAGCAGGAAGCUGCGGGAAGAAGGCAGUGGUGCCCGGCCAGAAUCCGGAGUGGCUUGGAGGUGGUCAAAGGUUUGAAGACAGCCACAGUACAGUGGACAGAGACAAGAAAAACAGGCACCAAACCGUGCAUCCAGGUAGUCACAGAAAGGAAAUGGGUUUAGAAUGAAGCAAUGUGGGUUAAAGUUAGACCUUGGGGAAACCUUGCAGGGGCCUCUAGUCCUGUGAAGAACUGGACUAGGUGAGAAGAGGAAGCUUUUGACCCAUGUCACUCCCUGGCGCAGAACUAUAUCCUACCCACAGGUGGGUUGAGUUCAGGACUGCUGCUUCCAGCCCCCAGCAGCCAGGUUCAAGUGAGAGCUGACUCACUUAGGGCCCCUUGUUGGAGCCUCAGAGCCAGGUGAAAAGCCACACACAGGCUGGGCACGAUGGCUCACGCCUGUCAUCCCAGCACUUUGGGAGGCCGAGGCGGGUGGAUCACCUGAGGUCAGGAGUUCAAGACCAUCCUGGCCAACAUGGCGAAAUUCUGUCUCUACUAAAAAUACAAAAAUUAGUCCUGCCUGGUGGCACAUGCCUGUAAUCCCAGCUACUCGGGAGGCUGAGGCAGGAGAAUCGCUUGAACCCGGGAGGCAGAGGUUGCAGUGAGCCGAGAUCAUGCCACUGCGCUCCAGCCUGGAUGACAGAGCGGGACUCUGUCUCCAAAAAAAGAAAAGCCACACAGGUGUGUGUGUAGGGGGAAAGGGAGUUUCCUCCUAUCUUCUAGCAGAAAAUGGGGAGAAACUGUUAAAGCCAGAAUGAGGGAGGGCUGUGUGUGGCCUGGGACUGGCAACUGAAGUGUCAAGCUGCCAGGUUUCAGGCCAGUACAGAGCACGGUUCUACCUGGGUUAUGUGUUGCUGGCACUAAUGGUUAGAGACAUCUGUCACUGGUGAGGGCAGAAAUGUAUGCAGGAGGGGGUGUGGGAAGCUGGCCUCACUGGUGGGUGGGGUUGGAGACUUUGCCAGGCCUGGUCAGAAAAAGCUGCUACAAAACAGCAAAACUGCUCCUAGCGCAGCGAUCCCCAACCUUUUUGGCAACAGGGAGUAGUUUCCUGGAAGACCAUUUUUCCAUGGGGGAGGGAGGGCGGGGCUGGUUUCGGGAUGGAAGUGUUCCACCUCCCAUCAUCAGGCAUUAGUCAGACUCUCCUAAGGAGCACACAAAACCUAGACUCCUGGUGUGCACAGUUCACAGGAGGGCUCCUGCUUCUGUGAGAACCGAACGUCCCACUGAUGUGACAGGAUCAGAGCGCCAUCGCUGCUCACCUCCUGCAUGCGGCCCUGUUCCUGACAGGCCAUGGACCAGUACCUGGGGUGUGGGGUCCCCCGCCCUAGGGGAUGAAAGAAGGGAAACCUGGGUCUAAUGGGUUACUGUGAUUCUCCCUGUGAUGCAGGGAAGAGAAAGGACAGAGGUGGGAAGGAACAUGGUCACCAGGAGUCGGGACAGCACCCUUCCAGAUCCUUCCCCUGGGGCUGAGUAAGCACCCUGCACAUAGCUCUUCCUGGCCGCCCAUGGGCUCUGGGAUUUAAACGGACUACGCAGCCAUCCUCACCUUCAUUCACAGCUUGGACAGGGACAGUGUGUGUUGAGGCGGAAAGACAAAACAUAUAUAUGUGAGAGACUUUGUAUGAGCCGGUUCCUGAUGAAGUCCUAUCUUUCAGCCUCGUAUUUACUGCCCAGGCAGAUGGGGCUCUUUUCUUCAUCCCCCUGCUUUUUUUUUUUGAGACAGAAAACUUAAUAGAAAUUUUGUUUGCAGUUCAUACAUUCUCAGUGUGAGCCAAUCUGGGACCCACCGCCCCACCCAGAAGUGGCCCAGUCCUGGUGCAGGGAAGGAAGGGAAGGGUGGAGUGAGAGGAGCCCCAUUUUUCCUCAGUGCCAGGGGGCUGGAGACGCCACCCCCUUCUCCUGCCUCUGGGCUCCAGGAAGGAGUGCAGAUGGACUCUCAGGCCUAUGGUUCCUCCUGCACACCACUGUCCCCCAGGUUGGAGGGGAGUGAGAGAUACAGGGAGAGAAGGGGGACAGAGGCAAGAAAAGGUGUUGAUCAAGAAAGGCGAGAACCAGGGGUGAGGGCUGACGGAGAAUCAAAGAUAAAACACUAGUAGGCCGGGCACGGUGGCUCAUGCCUGUAAUCCCAGCACUUUGGAAGGCCGAGGCGGGCAGAUCACCUGAGGUCGGGAAUUCGAGACCAGCCUGACCAACAUGGAGAAACCCUGUCUCUACUACAAAUAUAAAAUUAGCCGGGUGUGGUGGCACAUGCCUGUAAUCCCAGCUACUCAGGAGGCUGAGGCAGGAGAAUCGCUUGAACCUGGGAGGCAGAGAUUGCGGUGAGCCGAGAUCAUGCCACUGCACUCCAGCCUGGGCAACAAGAGCGAAACUCUGUUUGAAAAAAACAAACAGUAAAAAAGAAA